UCUCUCUCAGGGUCCUAUCUAGAGAGUUUCCAGUACUCUACCAGUCACGACUACGGGAGGGAGAGUCAAGCAGAUGCAUACCCAUUCCAUUCCUAGCUUGGGCAUUGGCUAGUGAGUGGAAGGCAAUCUACUACAAGU